UACGUAGGGUGCAAGCGUUGUCCGGAAUUAUUGGGCGUAAAGAGCUCGUAGGCGGCUUGGCAAGUCGGGUGUGAAAACUCCAGGCUCAACCUGGAGACGCCACUUGAGACUGCUAUGGCUAGAGUCCGGUAGGGGACCACGGAAUUCCUGGUGUAGCGGUGAAAUGCGCAGAUAUCAGGAGGAACACCGGUGGCGAAGGCGGUGGUCUGGGCCGGCACUGACGCUGAGGAGCGAAAGCGUGGGGAGCAAACAGG
rnacentral:rRNA from 1 species